UACGUAGGGGGCAAGCGUUGUCCGGAAUCAUUGGGCGUAAAGCGCGUGUAGGCGGUUCGGUAAGUCUGCUGUGAAAGUCCAGGGCUCAACCCUCGGAUGCCGGUGGAUACUGUCGGGCUUGAGUACGGAAGAGGCGAGUGGAAUUCCUGGUGUAGCGGUGAAAUGCGCAGAUAUCAGGAGGAACACCAAUUGCGAAGGCAGCUCGCUGGGACGUUACUGACGCUGAGACGCGAAAGCGUGGGGAGCAAACAGG
rnacentral:rRNA from 1 species